AUGCCGACGGCGCAGGGGAUUGGUUUGAAGCACGCGACGCCGACGGGCGUCGGCCGCAGGGCCCGGCGCAGCCACGCCGCGUCCGCGCAUGGCCGCUCCGCGAGGCAGGCGCACGGUGCCAUGUCUCUGGAGGGCGGCGGGUUCCUCGGCGGCGCGCACCGCAUCGAGGAACGCGUCGCGCCAUGCCCGCCUCGGGCCGCGGCGCGUGACGCAGAGUCGAUACGGCCCAUGUCUCUGCUACCCGAGAGCAGCAUUGGGCUCUACAACCCGGCGUUCGAGCGUGACUCGUGCGGCGUUGGUUUCGUCGCCGAGCUGUCGGGCGUUGACAACCGGGCGACCGUCGUCGAUGCCAUUCAGAUGCUUGAAAGAAUGGCACACCGAGGUGCCUGCGGCUGUGAGAAAAACACUGGUGAUGGUGCCGGCAUUCUCGUUGCUCUACCACACAACUUCUUCCGAGAGGUGACAAAGGAUGCCGGUUUCGAGUUACCGCCACCAGGUGAGUAUGCUGUUGGAAUGGUCUUCCUGCCAACCGAUGAGAAGCGCCGCGAGAGGAGCAAAACUGAGUUUACAAAGGUCGCUGAGUCGCUAGGACAUUCGAUACUUGGGUGGCGCCAGGUUCCCACUGACAAUUCAGACUUGGGCCAAGCUGCGCUCGACACUGAACCAGCGAUUGAACAGGUUUUCCUCACAAAGAGUUCAAAAUCGAAGGCCGACUUCGAACAGCAGUUGUUUAUCCUGAGGAGGCUCUCAAUUGUAUCUAUCCGGGCCGCGCUGAAUCUUAAGCGUGGAGGAGAGAGAGAUUUCUACAUGUGCUCUCUAUCUUCAAGGACCAUUGUCUACAAGGGCCAGCUUAUGCCGUCUCAGCUUCAGGGGUACUACUAUGCGGACAUAGGUCAUGAAAACUUCUCCAGUUAUAUGGCUCUGGUUCACUCAAGGUUCUCCACCAACACCUUCCCCAGCUGGGACCGUGCACAGCCAAUGCGUGUCUUAGGCCACAAUGGAGAGAUCAAUACUCUUAAAGGGAACAAAAACUGGAUGAAAGCUCGUGAGGGUCUCUUGGAGUGUGAGAAGCUUGGCCUAUCACAGGAUGAAAUGUCAAAAAUUCUUCCAAUAGUGGAUGCCACUUCUUCAGAUUCAGGUGCAUUUGAUGGUGUUCUCGAGCUCCUUAUCCGUGGUGGAAGAAGCCUGCCAGAAGCUGUGAUGAUGAUGAUCCCUGAGGCGUGGCAGAAUGAUGUAAACAUGGAACCUGAUAAGAAAGCUCUGUACGAGUUCUUGUCAGCCCUUAUGGAGCCUUGGGAUGGACCUGCUCUCAUAUCUUUUACCGAUGGCCGCUACCUUGGAGCUACCCUGGAUCGCAAUGGCCUUAGGCCUGGUCGAUUUUAUGUGACCCACAGUGGACGUGUGGUCAUGGGUAGUGAAGUUGGUGUUGUGGAUAUUCCUGCCCAAGAUGUGUUGAGAAAGGGUCGGCUUAACCCUGGAAUGAUGUUACUCGUUGACUUCGACAACCAUACUGUAGUAGAUGAUGAAGCACUCAAGGCACAGUACUCUAAAGCUCACCCGUAUGGAGAAUGGCUCAAACGACAAAAGAUGUACCUCAAAGACAUUGUAGAAUCUGUCCCAGAAACUGACAGAGUUGCUCCAAGCAUUUCUGGUUCUAUUACGCAAACAAAUGAGAACAAGGAAUGUGUAGGCAUCAAUGCAAUUGUGACUCCACUAAAGGCGUUUGGGUACACAUUGGAAGCCCUAGAAAUGUUGCUGCUGCCAAUGGCUAAAGAUGGAGUGGAAGCUCUUGGAUCAAUGGGAAAUGAUGCACCCCUAGCAGUGAUGUCAAACAGAGAGAAGCUGACUUUUGAGUACUUCAAGCAGAUGUUUGCACAAGUAACAAACCCUCCAAUCGAUCCAAUUAGGGAGAAGAUUGUUACAUCUAUGGAAUGUAUGAUUGGGCCAGAAGGAGAUUUGCUGGAAAUAACCGAAAAGCAAUGCAACCGCCUUGCACUUAAAGGUCCUUUGGUGUCAAUGGAUGAAAUGGAAUCUAUCAAGAAGAUGAACUACCGUGGUUGGCGCAGCAAGGUGCUCGACAUAACUUAUCUGAAGAAUUCUGCAAGGAAGGGCUUGGAAGAAACUUUGGAUAGAAUUUGUGCUGAAGCCCGGGAAGCUAUACGUGAGGGAUACAAAAUUUUAGUUCUUUCAGACAGAGGAUUUUCUUCAGACCGUGUUGCUGUCAGUUCCCUCUUAGCAGUUGGAGCAGUACAUCAACACCUUGUUGCAAAUCUUGAGAGGACACGCGUAGGAUUAUUGGUUGAGUCUGCUGAACCUCGUGAAGUGCACCAUUUCUGUACACUCGUUGGAUUUGGUGCAGAUGCUAUAUGCCCUUAUUUGGCCAUUGAAGCAAUUUGGUGCUUGCAGACUGAUGGGAAGAUUCCUCCUACCGACUCAAAGGAGGAACUUGUUGAAAAAUAUUUUUAUGCUUCCAUCUAUGGAAUGAUGAAGGUUCUUGCAAAGAUGGGAAUAUCCACCCUUGCAUCUUACAAAGGGGCACAGAUUUUUGAAGCUCUUGGACUUUCUUCUGAAGUGAUUCACAAGUGUUUUGAAGGCACUCCUAGCAGAAUUGAGGGUGCAACGUUCGAAAUGCUUGCACGUGAUGCUCUCCGUCUUCACGAGUUGGCAUUCCCAUCAAGAACACCUCCGCCUGGCAGUGCAGAUGCAAAAGCCCUUCCCAAUCCAGGGGAUUACCACUGGAGGAAAAAUGGUGAAGUCCACCUAAAUGAUCCUCUUGCAAUGGCAAAAUUACAAGAAGCAGCUAAAGUAAACAGCCGGGAAGCAUACAAAGAAUAUUCUAAGCGAAUUCAAGAGCUUAACAAGGCGUGCAAUCUGCGUGGUAUGCUGAAAUUUAUAGAUAGCACUAGCAAGAUUUCUUUGGAUGAGGUUGAACCUGCAAGUGAGAUAGUGAAACGCUUUUGUACUGGGGCAAUGAGUUAUGGAUCUAUUUCGUUGGAGGCACAUACUGCCCUUGCUGUGGCCAUGAACAAACUGGGAGGCAAAUCUAACACAGGGGAGGGAGGGGAGCAGCCUUCUCGUAUGGAGCCUCUUCCUGAUGGUUCGAUGAAUCCAAAACGAAGUGCAAUCAAGCAAGUUGCCAGUGGACGAUUUGGAGUUUCCAGCUAUUAUCUGACUAAUGCAGAUGAGCUGCAGAUAAAAAUGGCUCAGGGUGCUAAGCCUGGUGAAGGUGGUGAGCUACCAGGUCACAAGGUUAUCGGUGACAUUGCAGUUACCAGACAUUCUACAGCUGGUGUUGGGCUUAUUAGUCCACCUCCUCACCAUGAUAUAUAUUCUAUCGAGGAUCUUGCACAGCUUAUCCAUGACCUUAAGAAUUCAAAUCCUCAAGCUCGAAUCAGCGUGAAGCUAGUGUCUGAGGCUGGUGUCGGAGUUGUAGCUAGCGGUGUUGUAAAAGGACACGCAGACCAUGUUCUUAUUUCUGGCCAUGACGGUGGCACCGGUGCAUCAAGAUGGACAGGUAUCAAGAAUGCUGGACUUCCAUGGGAACUAGGAUUGGCCGAGACACAUCAAACUUUAGUGGCAAAUGGGCUUCGUGGUCGAGCUGUCCUACAAACAGAUGGCCAGUUAAAAACUGGUAGAGAUGUUGCUGUGGCGUGCUUACUUGGUGCAGAGGAAUUUGGUUUCAGCACUGCUCCACUGAUCACACUUGGCUGCAUUAUGAUGCGGAAGUGCCAUACCAAUACUUGCCCUGUUGGUAUAGCCACUCAAGAUCCAGUGCUCCGAGAAAAAUUUGCUGGAGAACCAGAGCAUGUCAUUAACUUUUUCUUCAUGCUUGCUGAGGAGCUAAGAGAAAUUAUGGCUCAGCUUGGCCUCCGUACAAUUAAUGAAAUGGUUGGACGCUCUGAUAUGCUUGAAGUUGAUCCAGAAGUAGUUAAGAGCAAUGAGAAACUUGAAAAUAUUGAUCUCUCAUUGAUCUUAAAACCAGCUGCAGAGAUUCGUCCUGGGGCCGCUCAGUACUGUGUUGAAAAGCAAGACCAUGGCCUUGACAUGGCUUUGGAUAACAAACUUAUAGCUUUAUCAAGGCCUGCACUUGAAAAGGAAGUUCGUGUUUUCGUUGAGACUCCAAUCAAGAACACUAAUCGGGCAGUAGGCACUACACUUAGCCAUGAAGUCACAAAACGUUAUCACAUGAAGGGAUUAGAUCCUGGAACCAUUCAUGUGAAACUCACUGGAAGUGCUGGUCAGAGUUUUGGUGCUUUUCUCUGUCCUGGAAUAACCCUUGAGCUUGAAGGAGACAGCAAUGAUUACGUUGGCAAAGGAUUAUCUGGUGGAAAGAUUGUUGUGUACCCACCCAGGAACAGUACAUUUAGUGCAGAAGACAAUAUUGUCAUUGGUAAUGUGGCCCUGUAUGGUGCUACCAAGGGAGAAGCAUACUUCAAUGGAAUGGCAGCAGAAAGGUUUUGUGUUCGUAAUUCUGGUGCUCGAACAGUGGUUGAAGGAAUUGGUGAUCAUGGAUGCGAGUACAUGACAGGGGGUACUGUAGUCAUCCUUGGUAAAACAGGAAGAAAUUUUGCUGCUGGGAUGAGUGGAGGCAUCGCUUAUGUUUAUGAUGUUGAUGGGACAUUCAGUGCCCGCUGUAACAAUGAGUUGGUUGAUCUAUAUCAUGUGGAGGAAGAGGAUGAUGUAACCACUUUGAAAAUGAUGAUAGAGCAACAUCGACUUCACACAGAGAGCGUCCUGGCCAAAGACAUACUCUCUAAAUUCGACACUCUUCUUCCAAAAUUUGUAAAAGUAUAUCCAAGGGAUUAUAAGAGGGUUCUAGAAGAAAUGAAGGCAGAAAAAGCUGCAGCUAGGCCUACAAAGGAACCUAAGGUGGCAAAUGGUGUUUCUGUGACAACUAAGAAAAUACAAACAGAGAAGUCAUCCAGCCGACCAACACGUGUUGCCAACGCCAAAAAGUACCGGGGUUUUGUAACAUAUGAGCGAGAGGGUGUUUCUUACCGUGAUCCAAAUGAGCGUGUUAAAGAUUGGAACGAGGUUGCCAUUGAAUCAGUUCCAGGGCCACUGUUAAACACACAGUCUGCUCGUUGUAUGGAUUGUGGCACUCCUUUCUGUCAUCAGGAAAGCUCAGGUGCUGGCUGUCCUCUUGGAAAUAAGAUCCCAGAGUUCAAUGAAUUAGUUCACCAGAAUAGAUGGCGUGAAGCAUUGGAUCGCCUACUAGAGACAAACAACUUCCCUGAAUUUACUGGACGUGUGUGCCCUGCUCCUUGUGAGGGGUCUUGUGUUCUUGGCAUUAUUGAGAACCCAGUAUCAAUCAAAAGCAUAGAAUGCUCGAUUAUAGACAAAGGUUUUGAGGAGGGAUGGAUGGUACCACGACCACCACUUCAAAGAACAGGAAAGAAAAUCGCUAUAGUUGGCAGUGGUCCUGCUGGUUUGGCUGCCGCUGAUCAACUGAAUAAAAUGGGCCAUUUUGUAACUGUAUUUGAACGUUCGGAUCGUAUAGGAGGUCUUAUGAUGUAUGGAGUACCAAACAUGAAGACAGACAAGAUUGGAGUUGUUCAGCGUCGUGUCAAUUUAAUGGCCGAAGAGGGUGUAACAUUUGUGGUGAAUGCUAAUAUAGGGAGUGAUCCUUUAUACUCAAUUGAACGUCUCCGUUCUGAGAACAAUGCAGUUAUUUUGGCUUGUGGAGCUACAAAACCAAGGGACCUCAGUAUUCCUGGCCGUCAGCUAGCUGGAGUUCAUUUUGCCAUGGAAUUUCUCCACGCAAAUACCAAAAGCUUGCUUGAUAGCAACUUGGAGGAUGGAAGAUACAUAUCUGCCAAGGGUAAGAAGGUGGUGGUCAUUGGUGGUGGAGACACAGGCACAGAUUGCAUCGGUACGUCUGUUAGGCAUGGUUGCAGCAGCAUUGUAAAUCUGGAGCUUCUCACCAAGCCACCAAGCAAGAGAGCUUCUGACAACCCCUGGCCCCAGUGGCCUAGAGUCUUCCGAGUGGACUAUGGGCACCAGGAAGCAUCUACCAAGUUUGGAAAUGAUCCAAGAACUUACGAAGUCUUAACCAAGCGUUUCAUUGGUGAUGAAGAUGGAAAAUUGAAGGCCCUUGAGGUGGUGCGCGUGAAGUGGGAGAAAGUAGAUGGAAGAUUCCAGUUCAAGGAGAUUGAAGGAUCACAGAUCAUCGAGGCAGACCUUGUCCUCCUUGCCAUGGGAUUCCUGGGCCCUGAAGAGAACAUCGCUGACAAACUGGGUUUAGAGAAAGACAACCGUUCCAACUUCAAAGCUCAAUUCGGACACUUCGGGACCAGUGUGGAUGGCGUUUUUGCCGCUGGGGAUUGCAGGCGCGGGCAAUCGCUGGUUGUUUGGGCCAUCACCGAAGGGCGUGAAGCUGCUGCUGCAGUAGAUAAGUACUUGUCAAGGGAUGAACAAAAUGUCGCAGGCCUUACAUAG
rnacentral:rRNA from 1 species